AAAAAGACAAACCCUGGUUUCCGUGUCCAACAUUUGACCGUCCGUCUUAUUUAAAAAAAUUGUGAUAAAAAUUUAAAAAAUAAGUCACGCAUAAAGUAUUAAUCAUGUUUUACCAUCUAACAACAAUGAAAAUACUAAUUAUAAAAAAAUUUUAUAUAAGAUGGACAGUCAAACGUUGGCACGGAAACCCAGGGUUUAUCUUUUU
rnacentral:pre_miRNA from 1 species